AUAGCUGAAUAUUCAUAUUUAGAUAUUUUAUGUAUAUUAGGACAAUUUUGAGUCGAUUUAACCAAGGAUGACGAGAGAUGAACAAGGAUGAACAACUCUGAAGAGAAUUCUUGUCCAGGGUGAAAUGCAAAAAAUCUACAUACAUCAAGUAGAACUGAAAACAAAGAAUAUUGAACUAUUGCAAUAUGUUAGCUGUUUCCAUCGUUGCCAUCAUGGUAUAGUGGUAAAGACUGAGGCCAUCAUGAGCGAACGUUGUGGACCGUCUCCAGGUAAGACUCUCGCAACUUUUCGUAUAAUUUUUCUUUAUUUCUUUUUACCAUUAUUUUUCCAAAAAUGUUUCUAAAUCGCACCUCCUAACAGCUGAAUAUUCAUUUUUAGAUAUUUUUUUUUAUAUUAGGACAAUUUUGAGUCGAUUUAACCAAGGAUGACGAGAGAUGAACAAAGAUGAACAACUCUGAAGAGAAUUCUUGUCCAGGGUGAAAUGCAAAAAAUCUACAUACAUCAAGUAGAACUGAAAACAAAGAAUAUUGAACUAUUGCAAUAUGUUAGAUGUUUCCAUCGUUGCCAUCAUGGUCUAGUGGUAAAGACUGAGGCCAUCAUGGUCUAGUGGUAAAGACUGAGGCCAUCAUGAGCGAACGUUGUGGACCGUCUCCAGGUAAGACUCUCGUAACUUUUCGUAUAAUUUUUCUUUAUUUUGUUUUUGCCAUUAUUUUUCCAAAAAUGUCUCUAAAUCGCACCUCCUAACAGCUGAAUAUUCAUUUUUAGAUAUUUUUUUGUAUAUUACGACAAUUUUGAGUCCAUUUAACCAAGGAUGACGAGAGAUGAACAAGGAUGAACAACUCUGAAGAGAAUUCUUGUCCAGGGUGAAAUGCAAAAAAUCUAAAUACAUCAAGUAGAACUGAAAACAAAGAAUAUUGAACUAUUGCAAUAUGUUAGCUGUUUCCAUCGUUGCCAUCAUGGUAUAGUGGUAAAGACUGAGGCCAUCAUGAGCGAACGUUGUGGACCGUCUCCAGGUAAAACUCUCGUAACUUUUCGUAUAAUUUAUCUUUAUUUCUUUUUGCCAUUAUUUUUCCAAAAAUGUCUCCAAAUCGCACCUCCUAACAGCCGAAUAUUCAUUUUUUGAUAAUUUUUUGUAUAUUAGGACAAUUUUGAGUCGAUUUAACCAAGGAUGACGAGAGAUGAACAAGGAUGAACAACUCUGAAGAGAAUUCUUGUCCAGGGUGAAAUGCAAAAAAUCUACAUACAUCAAGUAGAACUGAAAACAAAGAAUAUUGAACUAUUGCAAUAUGUUACCUGUUUCCAUCGUUGCCAUCAUGGUCUAGUGGUAAAGACUGAGGCCAUCAUGGUCUAGUGGUAAAGACUGAGGCCAUCAUGAGCGAAUGUUGUGGACCGUCUCCAGGUAAGACUCUCGUACCUUUUCGUAUCAUUUUUCUUUAUUUCUUUUUGCCAUUAUUUUUCCAAAAAUGUCUCUAAAUCGCUCCUCCUAACAGCUGAAUAUUCAUUUUUUGAUAUUUCUUUGUAUAUUAGGACAAUUUUGAGUCGAUUUAACCAAGGAUGACGAGAGAUGAACAAGGAUGAACAACUCUGAAGAGAAUUCUUGUCCAGGGUGAAAUGCAAAAAAUCUACAUACAUCAAGUAGAACUGAAAACAAAGAAUAUUGAACUAUUGCAAUAUGUUAGCUAUUUCCAUCGUUGCCAUCAUGGUAUAGUGGUAAAGACUGAGGCCAUCAUGAGCUAACGUUGUGGACCGUCUCCAGGUAAGACUCUCGUAACUUUUCGUAUAAUUUUUCUUUAUUUCUUUUUGCCAUUAUUUUUCCAAAAAUGUCUCUAAAUCGCACCUCCUAACAGCUG
rnacentral:lncRNA from 1 species